UCGGUGGAGGCAGCAGACGGCGGCGGAGGGCUGCAGGUUCAUCAUGAAGCAGCACGGCCUGCCGGAGCGGGAGUGGCAGAUGGGCAAGACCAAGAUGUUCCUGCGCCACUGUGUGCACGAGCCGCUGGAGGACAAGCGCACGGCGCUGGUGCACCGGUCGGCUGUGUGCGCGCAGAAGAUCUACCGCGGCUACGUCCGGCGGAAAGCGUACCGGGAGAAGCUGGAGGCGGUGCGC